rnacentral:rRNA from 1 species
UACGUAGGGGGCAAGCGUUGUCCGGAAUCAUUGGGCGUAAAGAGCGUGUAGGCGGCUCGGUAAGUCCGCUGUGAAAGUCCAGGGCUCAACCCUGGAAUGCCGGUGGAAACUGUCGAGCUAGAGUCCGGAAGAGGCGAGUGGAAUUCCUGGUGUAGCGGUGAAAUGCGCAGAUAUCAGGAGGAACACCAAUGGCGAAGGCAGCUCGCUGGGACGUGAUGACGCUGAGGAGCGAAAGCGUGGGGAGCGAACAGG